UAUAAAUCAAAAUUAUGUAAAAAACUAAAAAGAGUUUGAUCCUGGCUCAGAAUGAACGUUUAUAGUUAGCUUAACACAUGCGAGUUAAUACUUACUUUAAGUAUAGCGAACGGGUGAGUAUAAUAUAGAAAUUUACCUUAAAAAUUCUUAAUAAAAUUUAUUUGUUUUAUGAAAAGUCUAUAUAAGAUUAAGUAGUUGGUAAAUAAAGCUUACCAAGCUUAUAAUCUUUAGUUGAUCUUUGAGGAUGACCAACCACACUGGAAUUGAGAUACGGUCCAGACUCUUUAAAGAGGCAGCAGUGAGGAAUAUUGGGCAAUGAGCAAAAGCUUGACCCAGCUAAACUAUGUGUGUGAAGAAGACAGUUAGUUGUAAAACACUUUAUUUAAAAAUUAAUAAUGACUAAAAUUUAAAAAAGUCCUGGCUAAUUUCGUGCCAGCAGCCGCGGUAAAACGAGAAGGGCGAACGUUAUUCGGAUUAAUUGGGCGUAAAGCAUACGUAGGUUGAAAAAAUAACUAAAUAAAUAAAAUCUUAAAACUAAUUUUAUUUCUAUUUACUAAAAUAUUUUUCUUGAGUUUAGAAGAAGGCUGUAGAACUUUAAAUGUAACGGUAAAAUGUAUUGAUAUUUAAAAGAAUCUCAAAAGCGAAAGCAGCAGCCUAGGCUAAAACUGACACUGAAGUAUUAAAGCGUGGGUAUCAAAGGGGAUUAGAUACCCCCGUAGUCCACGCUGUCAACGAUGAGUGUUCACUUUUGAAUAAAUCAGAAGUAAAGUUAACACAUUAAACACUCCGCCAGGGAACUACGAUCGCAAGAUUAAAACUCAAAGGAAUUGACGGGGACCUAUACAAGCAGUGGAGCAUGUGGUUUAAAUCGACAAUACGCGCGAAACCUUACCAAUUUUUGUAUACUUUGUACAGGUGUUGCAUGGCUGUCGUCAGUCCGUGCUGUGAAGCGUUUGAUUAAUUUCAACAAACGGACGAAACUCUUAUGUAAAAUUACAGACUGCUAAAGAUAUUUUAGAGGAAGGAAAGAAUGACGUCAAGUCCUUAUGACCUUUAUAAAUUGGGCUACUUUCAUGUGCUACAAUAAUUAUUUCAAUAAGUAACAAAAUGUAAAUUUUAGUAAAUCUUAAUAAUAAUUGUAUUCUAAUUGUUUUCUGCAACUCGAAAACAUAAAGAUGGAAUUGCUAGUAAUCGUAAAUUAGAAUGUUACGGUGAAUACGUUCUUAGGUCUUGUACACACCGCCCGUCACGCUAUGGAAAUUCUAAGUAUUUGAAGAUUUAAAAUAUUAAAUUUAUAAUAUAAGAACAACUGAAGUGAAGUCGUAACAAGGUAGCCGUAGGGGAACCUGUGGCUGGAAAAUAAAACUAAUUUA
rnacentral:ncRNA from 1 species